rnacentral:rRNA from 1 species
CACGUAGGGCGCAAGCGUUGUCCGGAAUUAUUGGGCGUAAAGAGCUCGUAGGCGGUUUGUCGCGUCUGCUGUGAAAACUCGGGGCUUAACCCCGGGCCUGCAGUGGGUACGGGCAGACUAGAGUGCGGUAGGGGAGACUGGAAUUCCUGGUGUAGCGGUGAAAUGCGCAGAUAUCGGGAGGAACACCUAUGGCGAAGGCAGCUCGCUGGGACGUUACUGACGCUGAGACGCGAAAGCGUGGGGAGCAAACAGG